rnacentral:rRNA from 1 species
AGAGUUUGAUCCUGGCUCAGAAUGAACGCUGGCGGCGUGCUUAACACAUGCAAGUCGAACGGUAACAGGAGGAAGCUUGCUUUCUUGCUGACGAGUGGCGCACGGGUGAGUAAUGCAUAGGUAACGUGCCCCUUAGUCUGGGAUAGCCACUGGAAACGGUGAUUAAUACUAGAUACGCCUUCUCUCUUGAUGAGAGUUGGGAAAGUUUUUCGCUAAGGGAUCGGCCUAUGUUGUAUCAGGUAGUUGGUGAGGUAAUGGCUCACCAAGCCUAUGACACAUAGCGGGUCUGAGAGGAUGAUCCGCCACACUGGUACUGAGACACGGACCAGACUCCUACGGGAGGCAGCAGUGGGAAAUAUUGCACAAUGGACGAAAGUCUGAUGCAGCAACGCCGCGUGGAGGAUGACACAUUUCGGUGCGUAAACUCCUUUUAUAUGAGAAGAUAAUGACGGUAUCAUAUGAAUAAGCACCGGCUAACUCCGUGCCAGCAGCCGCGGUAAUACGGAGGGUGCAAGCGUUAUUCGGAAUCACUGGGCGUAAAGGGUGCGUAGGCGGUUUGGAAAGUCAGAUGUGAAAGCCUACAGCUUAACUGUAGAACUGCAUUUGAAACUUCCAGACUAGAAUACUGAAGGGGCAGAUGGAAUUAGUGGUUAGGGGUAAAAUCCGUAGAUAUCACUAGGAAUACCGAAAGCGAAAGCGAUCUGCUGGGAAGUUAUUGACGCUGAGGCACGAAAGCGUGGGGAGCAAACGGGAUUAGAUACCCCGGUAGUCCACGCCCUAAACGAUGAAUGCUAGUCGUCGGAAAGCUCGUCUUUUCGGUGAUGCAGUUAACACAUUAAGCAUUCCGCCUGGGGAGUACGGUCGCAAGAUUAAAACUCAAAGGAAUAGACGGGGACCCGCACAAGUGGUGGAGCAUGUGGUUUAAUUCGAAAAUACGCGAAGAACCUUACCUAGCCUUGACAUUGAUAGAAUCUGGUAGAGAUACCGGAGUGCCUGCUUGCAGGAGCUUGAAAACAGGUGCUGCACGGCUGUCGUCAGCUCGUGUCGUGAGAUGUUGGGUUAAGUCCCGCAACGAGCGCAACCCUCGUCGUUAGUUGCUAACAGUUCGGCUGAGCACUCUAGCGAGACUGCCUUCGCAAGGAGGAGGAAGGUGAGGACGACGUCAAGUCAUCAUGGCCCUUAUGGCUAGGGCUACACACGUGCUACAAUGGGGCGUACAGAGAGUUGCGAUACCGCGAGGUGGAGCUAAUCUCACAAAGCGUCUCUCAGUUCGGAUUGUUCUCUGCAACUCGAGAACAUGAAGCUGGAAUCACUAGUAAUCGUAGAUCAGCAAUGCUACGGUGGAUACGUUCCCGGGUCUUGUACUCACCGCCCGUCACACCAUGGGAGUUGAUUUCACCCGAAAUCGGGAAGCGAACCUUCGGGACGCUACCGCUUACGGUGGAAUUAGCGACUGGGGUGAAGUCGAAACAAGGUA